GCAUACCUCUAAAACCUGUAUACCUAUUUUUCUUUUAUCUCCUUGUUCUGACAUUUCUUCCUUUUCUUUUAAUGCUCCAGCAUCAAAGAAGAUGCCUUUUCCCAUCCCCUGAAUAGUUACUUCACUUUAAAUUCUUAUUAAUUACUCUCCCAAAUGUAACGUAUAUCCUCUCUAAAAUUUGUACAGACUUUUUAAUCUUUAUCCACUCCUGAAUAUUCUUUACCCACGAAACCAACAAAUAUCAGUACCUUUCUCCUUCUUCUUCCUUUUUCUUCAAAUUUGCAGGGGUUCUGGUGAUCUUUUAUCGUCCUUUUGAUGUGGGUUUGGAGCAGUUGAGACACAAUCAUCAUAAUCACCUUCAGAUUUUUUUUUAUUUUCUUGUGGACACCUUUAAUUUUGCUUUCUUCUUUUUCAGCAUUAACAUCUAAACUUACUUGUACACUUUAGCAGUGACGAAGAUAACAACAGUAGAAAGCAAUGCCAUAAAAAGGUUAGGAAGUUUUAUUCAGUCAUAAUUCAUUCAUUGUUUAUGCAGUUAUUAUUUGAAAACUAGCAGUUCAAUGCGAUUUGUGUAUUAGUUAUGCAUAUGGCAGUUUUUUGUCGAGAAAUAUACGAAAUUUGGUCUGAUCUUCAAUUUUGUCACAAACAUUUAUGUCGGAUGCUUACUGGACGUGCUUCAACGGCCAGAUACUGACGGCAUCUCUUUCUCAUAUCACCGAAAAAUGCCCUCGGACUUUGAUGUUUCUAUCAAUGAAGUUAAGUCUGAAUCCAAGAAUGGACUUCAAUAUAGAAUGUCUUCUCUUCAAGGAUUUUCAAUCAGAGCAAACUUAUGGUAUUACUCACGAGUUUUUGGCUAUAAUUGUUCAUGAAUUUUGUGACAACUUCAGAUUAUUCAUUCCAUUGGAUUGUGUCGCAUCAUACUAACAAAAGUAGCUGCAGAGUUUGGAUUCCAGAGUUAUGAAGUGUAUUUAGAGAAAAAUUUAGUUCAUCAGAUCUGUUGAGAAAAACAACAGUCAAAUUAUACUGAAAAACUCUUAGUACAAACCUUAUUCCUAUUCAACUUGAAACAUUCGUUUAGUAGUGACAUAAUGACUUAUUGCCUCCUCUACAAUAGCAUUAUAAGCUUCAUCA